AACGAACGCUGGCGGCAUGCCUAACACAUGCAAGUCGAACGAGACCUUCGGGUCUAGUGGCGCACGGGUGCGUAACGCGUGGGAACCUGCCCUUAGGUUCGGAAUAACUCCCCGAAAGGGGUGCUAAUACCGGAUAAUGUCUUCGGACCAAAGAUUUAUCGCCUUUGGAUGGGCCCGCGUUGGAUUAGCUAGUUGGUAGGGGAAAAGCCUACCAAGGCGACGAUCCAUAGCUGGUCUGAGAGGAUGAUCAGCCACACUGGGACUGAGACACGGCCCAGACUCCUACGGGAGGCAGCAGUGGGGAAUAUUGGACAAUGGGCGAAAGCCUGAUCCAGCAAUGCCGCGUGAGUGAUGAAGGCGUUAGGGUUGUAAAGCUCUUUUACCCGGGAUGAUAAUGACAGUACCGGGAGAAUAAGCUCCGGCUAACUCCGUG
rnacentral:rRNA from 1 species